UGGGGAAUAUUGCACAAUGGGCGCAAGCCUGAUGCAGCCAUGCCGCGUGUAUGAAGAAGGCCUUCGGGUUGUAAAGUACUUUCAGUCGGGAGGAAGGUGGUAAGGUUAAUAACCUUAUCAAUUGACGUUACCGACAGAAGAAGCACCGGCUAACUCCGUGCCAGCAGCCGCGGUAAUACGGAGGGUGCAAGCGUUAAUCGGAAUUACUGGGCGUAAAGCGCACGCAGGCGGUUGAUUGAGUCAGAUGUGAAAUCCCCGGGCUUAACCCGGGAAUUGCAUCUGAUACUGGUCAGCUAGAGUCUUGUAGAGGGGGGUAGAAUUCCAUGUGUAGCGGUGAAAUGCGUAGAGAUGUGGGGGAAUACCGGUGGCGAAGGCGGCCCCCUGGACAAAGACUGACGCUCAGGUGCGAAAGCGUGGGGAGCAAACAGG
rnacentral:rRNA from 1 species